rnacentral:rRNA from 1 species
AGCCUGAUGCAGCCAUGCCGCGUGUAUGAAGAAGGCCUUCGGGUUGUAAAGUACUUUCAGUUGUGAGGAAGGGUGUGUAGUUAAUAGCUGCGCAUCUUGACGUUAGCAACAGAAGAAGCACCGGCUAACUCCGUGCCAGCAGCCGCGGUAAUACGGAGGGUGCGAGCGUUAAUCGGAAUUACUGGGCGUAAAGCGCAUGCAGGUGGUUCAUUAAGUCAGAUGUGAAAGCCCGGGGCUCAACCUCGGAACUGCAUUUGAAACUGGUGAACUAGAGUGCUGUAGAGGGGGGUAGAAUUUCAGGUGUAGCGGUGAAAUGCGUAGAGAUCUGAAGGAAUACCAGUGGCGAAGGCGGCCCCCUGGACAGACACUGACACUCAGAUGCGAAAGCGUGGGGAGCAAACAGGAUUAGAUACCCUGGUAGUCCACGCCGUAAACGAUGUCUACUUGGAGGUUGUGGCCUUGAGCCGUGGCUUUCGGAGCUAACGCGUUAAGUAGACCGCCUGGG